rnacentral:rRNA from 1 species
GACGAACGCUGGCGGCGUGCUUAACACAUGCAAGUCGAACGGAAAGGCCCUGCUUUUGUGGGGUGCUCGAGUGGCGAACGGGUGAGUAACACGUGAGUAACCUGCCCUUGACUUUGGGAUAACUUCAGGAAACUGGGGCUAAUACCGGAUAGGAGCUCCUGCUGCAUGGUGGGGGUUGGAAAGUUUCGGCGGUUGGGGAUGGACUCGCGGCUUAUCAGCUUGUUGGUGGGGUAGUGGCUUACCAAGGCUGUGACGGGUAGCCGGCCUGAGAGGGUGACCGGCCACAUUGGGACUGAGAUACGGCCCAGACUCCUACGGGAGGCAGUAGUGGGGAAUAUUGCACAAUGGGCGGAAGCCUGAUGCAGCAACGCCGCGUGCGGGAUGACGGCCUUCGGGUUGUAAACCGCUUUCGCCUGUGACGAAGCGUGAGUGACGGUAAUGGGUAAAGAAGCACCGGCUAACUACGUG